rnacentral:rRNA from 1 species
CAGGCUUAACACAUGCAAGUCGAGCGCCCCGCAAGGGGAGCGGCAGACGGGUGAGUAACGCGUGGGAAUYUACCCUUGAMUACGGAAUAACGCAGGGAAACUUGUGCUAAUACCGUAUGUGUCCUUCGGGAGAAAGAUUUAUCGGUCAAGGAUGAGCCCGCGUUGGAUUAGYUAGUUGGUGGGGUAAAGGCCUACCAAGGCGACGAUCCAUAGCUG